rnacentral:misc_RNA from 1 species
UUCCAGCCUUGGGUUUGGAUCAGGUGAACAAAUAUUAUCUUUUGGAACAGUGUUAGUUGUAUUCUUUUAUUUAUUUUGAAAAAUCUUUUGAUCUUUGCUAAGUUUAUAGUUUGAUUUGAAACUGAACUUCAGCUGUUUUUAUUUAGUCUAAAUUUGGAGAUAUGGACUUGAUUGCUAUGAAAAUCCCUAGGAAACCUACUACAUAUGCAAUCACUAUAGAAAUAUAUACGUUUGUACGUCCUUUGAGGCAAUAAACAAAAUUUGAUGCUCUCUUUACAUCUCCAUGAUCACAAAGGAAGCCUAAUAAUGCCAUUACCAUGAUUGUUCUGUUUUUGAAAAUCAGGGGUCAGAGUGGGACUUUG